AUUGAACGCUGGCGGCAUGCCUUACACAUGCAAGUCGAACGGUAACAGGUCUUCGGAUGCUGACGAGUGGCGAACGGGUGAGUAAUACAUCGGAACGUGCCCGAUCGUGGGGGAUAACGAAGCGAAAGCUUUGCUAAUACCGCAUAAGAUCUACGGAUGAAAGCAGGGGACCGCAAGGCCUUGCGCGAACGGAGCGGCCGAUGGCAGAUUAGGUAGUUGGUGGGACAAAAGCUUACAAAGCCGACGAUCUGUAGCUGGUCUGAGAGGACGACCAGCCACACUGGGACUGAGACACGGCCCAGACGCCUACGGGAGGCAGCAGUGGGGAAUUUUGGACAAUGGGCGAAAGCCUGAUCCAGCCAUGCCGCGUGCAGGAUGAAGGCCUUCGGGUUGUAAACUGCUUUUGUACGGAACGAAAAGACUCUUUCUAAUAAAGAGGGUCCAUGACGGUACCGUAAGAAUAAGCACCGGCUAACUACGUGCCAGCCGCCGCGGUAAUAC
rnacentral:rRNA from 1 species